rnacentral:lncRNA from 1 species
AACAGUGGUAUCAAGAACGAGAGAGGGCCAUCAGGGGGGGCUGUCCAGGAGGAGAGGUCGAGAUUCGAGGGGAGGCAUUACUGGAGGGAGAGGGAGCUCAGGGGUGCCAUCCAGGAGCGGGAGAGAGCUCAGUGGCACUACUCAAGAAGAAACAGGGAACUGUGGGCGGACGCCCCCGGAGUGAGGGAGAGGGUCGAAACCUGGUACCCAACACGACGGAGGACCCUGAGAGAGGACGCCCAGAUAGCGAGGGAGAGGGUAGAGUCGAGAUACCCAAGAAGAGACAGGGAGCUGAGCAGCUUAGUCCAGGAAGACUGGGUGAGAACCGACGAGAGGCCCUCAGACAGGCCGAGAGUGGUCAGGUUCGCCCAGGAAGAGUGGGAGCGCCUCGACGAGAGGCUCCCCGCCAGAGAGAGGGAUUUCAGAGGCUUCCUCUAUGAAGAACGAGAGAGAGACCAGGACAGGUUUCCCAGGACCAGGGAGAGGCUGCUGAGAAGCACGGUCCAGGAAGAGAGGGAGCGAGAUGACAGCAGGCAAUUAAGGAGGGGUAGGGAAAGAGAACCCAGGGGCAGCCCCCAGAGAGAGAGAGAACAGAUCGAAAGUCGGCAAUCCAGAGAGAUUGACUUGAGGGAGAUUAUCCUGGAAGACCGGGAGAGGUCUGAGAGGAGGCUGACGCAGAGAGAAAGGGAGCUGAGGGCAAUCAUUCAGAGAGAAGCACAGAUAGCUGAAGGCGGGGGUAUAGGGAGAGAGAGCGAGCUCAGGGCGUCCAUCCUGAGGGACACAGCAAGAGCUGAGAGGAGGAAUAUAAGGAGGGAGAGGGAGUUAAGGGGGAACAUCCAGAGAGAAAGAGAGAGGGACGUGUAUAGAGAGAGGAAAAGAUCGAAUCAGGGUAUCCUGUUGAGGGCGAGAGCGAACGCAGAGACGGGCACCCAUCUUGCACAUCGCCCCCCUAGUAUAUUAACUCUGCCAGAGGGAGAGAGCAGUACUUUUCAGGGAAGGAGAGAGACGAUUAGCGGAGGCCUACAGAGGGAAAGAGAGAAUAUUCAAAGGUAUCUUCUGGAACAGAGAGGGAGUCCCUACCGGGAGGUCCUGCAGGAAGAGUGUGAGCUCCCUGAGGUAGCAUUUGAGAGUGAUUGUAUUGAAAAAUUCUUCUAG